UCCGGCUUAUCACCGGCAGUCCCCCUAGAGUGCCCAACUAAAUGAUGGCAACUAAGGGCGAGGGUUGCGCUCGUUGCGGGACUUAACCCAACAUCUCACGACACGAGCUGACGACAGCCGUGCAGCACCUGUCUCCGGUCCAGCCGAACUGAAGGAAUCCAUCUCUGGAAGCCGUCGUGGCAUGUCAAGGGUUGGUAAGGUUCUGCGCGUUGCUUCGAAUUGAACCACAUGCUCCACCGCUUGUGCGGGCCCCCGUCAAUUCCUUUGAGUUUUAGCCUUGCGGCCGUACUCCCCAGGCGGGGCGCUUAAUGCGUUAGCUACGGCACGGAUCCCGUGGAAGGAAACCCACACCUAGCGCCCACCGUUUACGGCGUGGACUAC
rnacentral:misc_RNA from 1 species